CGUGACCUGUGUUUAUUCAGUUAAGAGCGUCACAACAUAAAAGUGACAAGUGUUUUUUUAAAAUAUUUGUGGGAAAGACCGUCCUAUAUAAGUUUAGGUCGAUUUUCUGUGAAAAGUCCGAUAUCGAGUUUGGAGACUGAAGAGAAAGAAAAUACCAAGCCUAGUUCCUCCAGAAGUUUAAGUCCUUCUGCUAGUUUUAAUUCAAGAAAACAUACCACACUCGAAAAAUCUUGCCCCAAAGUCGAAAAAUCCCAACCCAACCCAGAAGAACAGGUCGUGGUAGCAGAAUUAUGUGUAGAAGCAGCUAAAGGAGGAAGAUAAAAAUGAAAUUCCUGAAACCAAAAAAAAGGGAAUUAUGCAGUUACUAGAGAAAAACAUAAUACCCGACUUUUAUCAUGGUUUCUACCAAAAUUUAUUUAAGUAGAUUAUAGAUUUUGACUGUUUUGUUAGAUGUUUUUACUUAAGAGUUAAGAAGAAAAUAACUAGGUAUAUGAGUUAAGUUUUCUUUUAAUACGUUUUAAAAAUACGUUUCUUUUUCUUUAAUACGUUUGUACUGAUGUAAGUGUAACCUAGUAUUAUAAAACUUCAAUAUUAUAAUUUUUUUAAAUAUGUUACCAAAAAUUUGAUUUAGGUUUAUUUUUCAUAAGGUUUGUUCCAAUCCAACGCGUUAGAAAACCGUCA
rnacentral:lncRNA from 1 species